AACGAACGCUGGCGGUAGGCUUAACACAUGCAAGUCGAACGCAUCCUUCGGGGUGAGUGGCAGACGGGUGAGUAACGCGUGGGAACGUGCCCUUCAGUUUGGAAUAACCCGGGGAAACUUGGGCUAAUACCGGAUACGCCCGUAAGGGGAAAGAUUUAUCGCCGAAGGAUCGGCCCGCGUCUGAUUAGCUAGUUGGUGGGGUAAUGGCCCACCAAGGCGACGAUCAGUAGCUGGUCUGAGAGGAUGAUCAGCCUCACUGGGACGGAGACACGGCCCAGACUCCUACGGGAGGCAGCAGUGGGGAAUAUUGGACAAUGGGCGCAAGCCUGAUCCAGCCAUGCCGCGUGGGUGAUGAAGGCCCUAGGGUUGUAAAGCCCUUUCGGCGGGGAAGAUAAUGACGGUACCCGCAGAAGAAGCCCCGGCUAACUUCGUGCCAGCCGCCGCAGUAACAC
rnacentral:rRNA from 1 species